GAUGAACGCUGGCGGCGUGCCUAAUACAUGCAAGUCGAGCGAACAGACGAGGAGCUUGCUCCUCUGACGUUAGCGGCGGACGGGUGAGUAACACGUGGAUAACCUAACUAUAAGACUGGGAUAACUUCGGGAAACCGGAGCUAAUACCGGAUAAUAUAUUGAACCGCAUGGUUCAAUAGUGAAAGUCGGUUUUGCUGUCAAUUAUAGAUGGAUCCGCGCCGCAUUAGCUAGUUGGUAGGGUAACGGCUUACCAAGGCAACGAUGCACAGACGACCUGAGAGGAUGAUCAGACACCCUGGGAGGGGGACACGGCCGGGACUCCUACGGGAGGGAGGAGUGGGGAAUAGUGGACACUGGGGGGAAGCAUGAUCGAGCUAGGACGCGUGAGUGAUGAAGGCCUUAGGGUAGUAAAGCUCUUUUACCCGGGAUGAUAAUGACAGUACCGGGAGAAAAAGCCCCGGCUAACUCCGUG
rnacentral:rRNA from 1 species